UGGGGAUUAGCUUAGCGCAUAAGCGCCUGCCUUGUAAGCAGGCAAUCGCCAGUUCGAUCCCUGGUACCAA
rnacentral:tRNA from 1 species